GCAAGUCGAACGCGAACGCAUUUUCGGAUGUUAUUAGAGUGGCGGACGGGUGAGUAACACGUGGGAACAUGCCUAUCAGUAAGGAACAACCGUUGGAAACGACGGCUAAUACCUUAUACGCCCUUCGGGGGAAAGAAUUUCGCUGAUAGAUUGGCCCGCGGUAGAUUAGUUAGUUGGUGAGGUAAAAGCUCACCAAGGCGACGAUCCGUAGCUGGUUUGAGAGGAUGAUC
rnacentral:rRNA from 1 species